rnacentral:rRNA from 1 species
AGUGAACGCUGGCGGCAGGCCUAACACAUGCAAGUCGAACGGCAGCACGGCAGUAGCAAUACUGUGGGUGGCGAGUGGCGGACGGGUGAGGAAUACAUCGGGAUCUACCCUGUUGUGGGGGAUAACGUAGGGAAACUUACGCUAAUACCGCAUAAGAACUGAGGUUGAAAGCGGCGGACCGCAAGGCGUCGCGCGAUUGGAUGAACCGAUGUCCGAUUAGCUAGUUGGCGGGGUAAAGGCCCACCAAGGCGACGAUCGGUAGCUGGUCUGAGAGGACGACCAGCCACACUGGAACUGAGACACGGUCCAGACUCCUACGGGAGGCAGCAGUGGGGAAUAUUGGACAAUGGGCGCAAGCCUGAUCCAGCCAUG